rnacentral:rRNA from 1 species
UACAGAGGGUGCGAGCGUUAAUCGGAUUUACUGGGCGUAAAGCGCGCGUAGGUGGUUAAUUAAGUCAAAUGUGAAAUCCCCGAGCUUAACUUGGGAAUUGCAUUCGAUACUGGUUAGCUAGAGUAUGGGAGAGGAUGGUAGAAUUCCAGGUGUAGCGGUGAAAUGCGUAGAGAUCUGGAGGAAUACCGAUGGCGAAGGCAGCCAUCUGGCCUAAUACUGACACUGAGGUGCGAAAGCAUGGGGAGCAAACAGGAUUAGAUACCCUGGUAGUCCAUGCCGUAAACGAUGUCUACUAGCCGUUGGGGGAUUUGAUCCUUUAGUGGCGCAGCUAACGCGAUAAGUAGACCGCCUGGGGAGUACGGUCGCAAGACUAAA